rnacentral:rRNA from 1 species
AUUGAACGCUGGCGGCAUGCCUUACACAUGCAAGUCGAACGGUAACAGGUCUUCGGAUGCUGACGAGUGGCGAACGGGUGAGUAAUACAUCGGAACGUGCCUAGUAGUGGGGGAUAACUACUCGAAAGAGUGGCUAAUACCGCAUGAGAUCUACGGAUGAAAGCAGGGGAUCGCAAGACCUUGUGCUACUAGAGCGGCCGAUGGCAGAUUAGGUAGUUGGUGGGAUAGAAGCUUACCAAGCCGACGAUCUGUAGCUGGUCUGAGAGGACGAUCAGCCAGACUGAGACUGGGCCACGGCCCAGACUCCUCCGGGAGGCAGCAGUGGGGAAUUUUGGACAAUGGGCGCAAGCCUGAUCCAGCAAUGCCGCGUGCAGGAUGAAGGCCUUCGGGUUGUAAACUGCUUUUGUACGGAACGAAAAGCCCUGGGUUAAUACCCUGGGGUCAUGACGGUACCGUAAGAAUAAGCACCGGCUAACUACGUGCCAGCCGCCGCAGUAAAAC